rnacentral:rRNA from 1 species
UGGCCACGCUGUCUCCACCCGAGACUCAGUGAAAUUGAAAUCGCUGUGAAGAUGCAGUGUACCCGCGGCUAGACGGAAAGACCCCGUGAACCUUUACUACAGCUUGGCACUGAACAUUGACCCUACAUGUGUAGGAUAGGUGGGAGGCUUUGAAGCAGGUACGCCAGUAUCUGUGGAGCCGUCCUUGAAAUACCACCCUUGUAGUGUUGAUGUUCU